rnacentral:lncRNA from 1 species
GGGCCAGAUCUGGGAAGUGGGAACUCCCGUUGCCCAGCCUGCUGUCCCCGUGGGCCACCCUAUAAAGGACACAAAAACAAAGCCCCGGGGCUUGGAGCGUGGACUGAAACGCGGUACUCUUCCCAGAGCUGCAGAGUGUCUCUGUGCCUGAUUUAUUUUCAGCGGCCUGUACGAGUGAAAUGAUGUUCCCUCUUUCCUCAGCUGGCCAGCCUGCAGGCGUCUCUUCGUUUUGCAGUGUACACCACCUGAAUCUGUAACCCCAAAGAGGAGUUCCCACGGGGGGGAACAAAAGAAGAAAAAGAAAGCGAACCCCGGUGGCGCUCCCAAAUCCACCCUUCCCAGGGGUCGGCUCCACUGCCUUGGUCAUCGGCUCACAUCACCCGGCGGCAGACAAGGCUCAGCACUUCCUUGAGUUUCCGUGAAGCGAAGCCACAUGCCUUUACCAAAUCCGCCACGCUCCUGAAAACAUUUCGAGUUUGCUGGUUUUGCUGCAAAUAAUCCAUGGACACAAAUGGCCUCACUUUGAGCACCAAGACGUUAGACACGAUGACACUGCGGAUUUUAAUAAGUCAGCUUGGAUUCUCAGUGGAAUAGUGGGACCUGAUGGUGCCUUUGGAAAGCAGUUUCAGAGGGACGCGGGUAAAGAAGACACCAGCCAAGGAAUGGCCCCUUGGGGGGCCAGCAAAUGCUUCAAAAAGACAGACUGGCCUCCUGAGUCCAGAGCUGAUGCACGUCGAGGCCGUCAAGGAAGGUAAGCGUUUGAAUGUGCUGUGGAUUCGGGAAUAAUCGCUGGCCGUCUUCAGGAGCCGCUCCGUCGUUUCUGACGUCAUUCGAUAGUAGGAAAACAAAAAUCCCUUCUGUUUUUUUAUGAGGCAUUUUCAGGUAUCGGGUGCAGAGGUAAAAGUUCAUAAGCACAUACUCUUAAUGAGCUAAGCGCGGGAGCGCUAGAUAAAUAAGAAUGAUUCGGUUUGACAAUUGCAGGGGCGGAACACGGAGUCUUUGGUUGCAUAGUCCAAGAAGAGUGAUUGUCUUUCCCCCUGUCUUCAUGCCAUGACAGGUAGCUUUCCCGUUCCUUGCCAGUUUCAUGAACUUGGAUUUGGACACAUUCCUUUCCCACCUGGUCAAGAAAGUAGAGCGUAUCCGAAUACAAACAAGAGAAAGGGACGUUAAUAGUAUCAGGAUCAUUUUUGAUGUAUUCUUAUUAAUGAAAAAGGAAAAUUGGGGAGUUCCCAUUGUAGAUUGAGGACCCCACGUUAUCUUUGUGAGGAUGCAGGUUUGAUCCUUGGCCUUGCUCAGUGGGUUAAGGAUCUGGUGCUGCUGUGGCUGUGGCAUAGGUCGCAGAUAUGGGUGUUGCUGUGGCUGUGGUGUAGGUUGCAGUGUAUCUCUGUUUUGACCCCUCACCUGGGAACUUCCGCAUGCUGCAGGU